rnacentral:rRNA from 1 species
CCUACGGGUGGCAGCAGUGAGGAAUAUUGGUCAAUGGGCGCGAGCCUGAACCAGCCAAGUCGCGUGAAGGAUGACUGCCCUACGGGUUGUAAACUUCUUUUAUAAAGGAGUAAAGUGAGGCACGUGUGCCUUUUUGUAUGUACUUUAUGAAUAAGGAUCGGCUAACUCCGUGCCAGCAGCCGCGGUAAUACGGAGGAUCCGAGCGUUAUCCGGAUUUAUUGGGGUUAAAGGGAGGGUAGGUGGGUUGUUAAGUCAGAUGUGAAAGUUUGCGGGUUAAACUGAAAAUUGCGUUUGAUACUGGCUGUCUUGAGUACAGUAGAGGUAGGCGGAAUUCGUGGUGUAGCGGUGAAAUGCUUAGAUAUCACGAAGAACUCCGAUUGCGAAGGCAGCUUACUAAACUGCCACUGACACUGAUGCUCGAAAGUGUGGGUAUCAAACAGGAUUAGAUACCCCAGUAGUC